rnacentral:rRNA from 1 species
AACUCCACAUACGCAUCCUUUGCUGAAGGUGCGGUUAACGGAGCGCAAGCGACGUUCAACCUCAAAAGAAGCAGAGGGGGCUUAGUGGUGGGGUGACUGCGUACCUUUUGUAUAAUGGGUCAGCGACUUAUAUUCUGUAGCAAGGUUAACCGCAUAGGGGAGCCGGAGGGAAACCGAGUCUUAAUUGGGCGUUAAGUUGCAGGGUAUAGACCCGAAACCCGGUGAUCUAGCCAUGGGCAGGUUGAAGGUUGGGUAACACUAACUGGAGGACCGAACCGACUAAUGUUGAAAAAUUAGCGGAUGACCUGUGGCUGGGGGUGAAAGGCCAAUCAAACCGGGAGAUAGCUGGUUCUCCCCGAAAGCUAUUUAGGUAGCGCCUCGUGAAUUCAUCUCCGGGGGUAGAGCACUGUUUCGGCUAGGGGGCCAUCCCGGCUUACCAACCCGAUGCAAACUGCGAAUACCGGAGAAUGUUAUCACGGGAGACACACGGCGGGUGCUAACGUCCGUCGUGAAGAGGGAAACAACCCAGACCGCCAGCUAAGGUCCCAAAGUCAUGGUUAAGUGGGAAACGAUGUGGGAAGGCCCAGACAGCCAGGAUGUUGGCUUAGAAGCAGCCAUCAUUUAAAGAAAGCGUAAUAGCUCACUGGUCGAGUCGGCCUGCGCGGAAGAUGU